rnacentral:rRNA from 1 species
CAGUCGUACCGGCGGGUAAUCAGCCUUUCGGGUAUGAUUCUGUGGAGUGUGGGGAGCUAAACACCCUCAUGCCUGCAUAUUCGUGCUCUUGGGUGUACUUGCUCGUGGUUAGUUAACAUCAAUUUUGGUUAUCAUAAAAUGGUUGGAGGAAUGUAGCUUCGAUCUCGUAUUGAAGUGUUAUAGCCUUCGGCAGAUGUGAUGUUUGAGACCGAGGAUUGC